rnacentral:lncRNA from 1 species
CGCACUUGAAUCUCGAACCGAAUCGACUAAAUUACGAAUACCGAAUUCUCAUUCCCUCUGGCGAAGAAAUGUGCUCCAAUCUAGCCAUAAUCAAUUGCCCAAUCCGAGUUCACACUCAACCCAUGAAUUUCGAUUUAAUCCUCCUACCGAUCCAAAACUUCAAAGUUAUACUAGGCAUGGAUUGGUUAACCAAAUUCAAAGCCCAAAUCGAUUGUGCCUCAAAAACGGUUAUCUUUCCCC